rnacentral:lncRNA from 1 species
AUGUGUUUACCUGAUGCUACAUAUCAAAAAGAUAUCAAAACAAUAAAUCACAAAAUAGAAGAUCAGAUGUUCCCAUCAGAAUCCAAACGAGAGGAAGAUGAAGAAUAUUCUUGGGAUUCUGGGAGUCUCUUUGAGAGUUCUGCAAAGACUCAAGUGUGUAUACCUGAGUCUAUAUAUCAGAAAGUAAUGGAGAUAAAUAGAGAAGUAGAAGAGCUUCCUGAGAAGCCAUCUGCCUUCAAGCCUGCCGUUGAAAUGCAAAAGACUGUUCCAAAUAAAGCCUUUGAAUUGAAGAAUGAACAAACAUUGAGAGCAGCUCAGAUGUUCCCAUCAGAAUCCAAACAAAAGGACGAUGAAGAAAAUUCUUGGGAUUCUGAGAGUCCCUGUGAGACUGUUUCACAGAAGGAUGUGUAUUUACCCAAAGCUACACAUCAAAAAGAAUUUGAUACCUUAAUUGGAAAAUUAGAAGAGUCUCCUGUUAAAGAUGGUCUUCUGAAGCCUACCUGUGGAAGGAAAGUUUCUCUUCCAAAUAAAGCCUUAGAAUUAAAGGACAGAGAAACAUUCAAAGCAGAGUCUCCUGAUAAUGAUGGUCUUCUGAAGCCUACCUGUGGAAGGAAAUUUUCUCUUCCAAAUAAAGCUUUAGAAUUGAAGGACAGAGAAACAUUCAAAGCAGCUCAGAUGUUCCCAUCAGAAUCCAAACAAAAGGACGAUGAAGAACAUUCUUGGGAUUUUGAGAGUUUCCUUGAGACUCUCUUACAGAAUGAUGUGUGUUUACCCAAGGCUACACAUCAAAAAGAAUUCGAUACCUUAAGUGGAAAAUUAGAAGAGUCUCCUGAUAAAGAUGGUCUUCUGAAGCCUACCUGUGGAAUGAAAAUUUCUCUUCCAAAUAAAGCCUUAGAAUUGAAGGACAGAGAAACAUUCAAAGCAGUGGAUGUGAGUUCUGUAGAGUCCACAUUCAGUCUUUUUGGCAAACCGACUACUGAAAAUUCACAGUCUACAAAAGUUGAGGAAGACUUUAAUCUUACUACCAAGGUAAAAUAGUCUCUUGUUAAAUUGAUUUUCUCAGUUGGAAUCUAAUUCUGUAUAGUAUUUACUUUUCAUGUUUAGCAGUGCUGUAUGUAUCAUAAAUUCAUGUUGGUAAUAUAAAGUUGGUCACAUAAAAACAUUUUAUAGAAAUAUGAGUAGUUGAUUUAAACAGUUUUUUUUUGUUUUUUGUUUUUGUUUGUUUGUUUUACUUCAGUAAAUAACAAAUGAUUGGUAAAUACUUUGAGGGUGUGAGGGCCAAAAACCGGAAUGGGC